UACAGAGGUCCCGAGCGUUGUUCGGAUUCAUUGGGCGUAAAGGGUGUGUAGGCGGUCUCGUAAGUCGGACGUGAAAUCUCACCGCUUAACGGUGAAACUGCGUUCGAUACUGCUUGGCUAGAGGAUCGGAGGGGGUAUCGGAAUUCAUGGUGUAGCAGUGAAAUGCGUAGAUAUUGGGAAGAACACCUGAGGCGAAGGCGGGUUGCUGGGCCGACACUGACGCUGAGGCGCGAAAGCCAGGGGAGCGAACGGG
rnacentral:rRNA from 1 species